rnacentral:rRNA from 1 species
UGAGGAACAUGACCUUCGGCGGGGGAGUAGCCGGCCCAACGGCCGGGUAAUACCGCGUACGACCACAUGGGGACAUCCCUGAGUGGUGAAAGCAGCAAUGCGCCGAUGGAGUGCCUCGCGGCCUAUCAGCUAGUUGGUGAGGUAACGGCUCACCAAGGCAACGACGGGUAGCUGGUCUGAGAGGAUGGCCAGCCACAUUGGGACUGAGACACGGCCCAGACUCUACGGGGAGG